rnacentral:misc_RNA from 1 species
GUGAAGUGUUCCUCUUCUCUCUCUAUCUUUUUAUUUUUAACUGAUCUAGACGGUAACCCCAUUCGCGCCAACAAUUUUUUUGGCGCCGUGUUCAUUCCUUUCUCUUAUUUCAUUUGCAAUCCCUCUUUUGCUAAUACCAAUCAAUACCUUUAUCACCGUAUCUCACUUCAGAUUAAUCUCUCCCUCUUUCUCUCUAUCGCUUCCAAUCUAUCCUUCUCUCGCGGGAACGUAGUCGGCGACUACGAAUCUUCCUCCCGGGGCCAUCAUUGUGACUAACGACUACUCAACAAUAAGAAAAAUACAAGUUCUACUUCCCCCAAUGGAGUUACGUAGUUGCACUCAUUUACAUUUUAUCCUAGUUGCUAAAGGUGGUUUGGCAACAAAAGCCCUGAACGUGUAUCAUGGAAGGCCGGCACUUAAGUUCAAGAAGGUCAAAGAUCUAUAUGAAACCGACGAUGAAAAUUUUUUUGAUCCAUUUCCAGUGUUUAGACCAAAAGUUGAGUUUGAAUGUGGCGAGGCAGAAAUUCUACAUACAGUCGCAGAAGAAAGAGCGACAAAAAGUGAUGGUGAAAUUUCAGAGUCUAACAGCAAAGGUUUUGAUGUUGGAGCAAGGGAAAUAGAUGAUCUUAACUUUGGCAAUAUGACACUGAAACAAAUUAGAGAGAAAUGUAAAGAAAAGAGAAGGAAAUCUUCCACAUAUGCCUGUUUGAAUAAAAAAACUAUUGAAACUGGUUCCCUUGGAAAAGGGAACCAUUUUAACUCACAGUCUGAGGAAGAUGAAUGUGAUAUCAUGGAGCCCCUCAGCUGUUGGAAAUCCAGAAUUCUAAACAGGAAGAAGACCAAGAGAAAAGGCAUAAGCAAAAGUGUCUAUACUUCACUUCAGAAUGCCUUAUCUAUUGUGAAGUUCGAGGGAAUCCCCAGUGAUGAAGUUGUCUUUCAAUCUAAUGAAAAUUUUCCAUCACCUAUUGCUGUUAAACUUGAGGAUCCUGUGUCUACUUAUUCAGCUUGCAAAGAUAUCAUCAUCAUUGAUGCAGAUUCCUCUUUUAGUUGUAAUGAGCUAGUGGCCUUUAACGGAGUGGCACCAUGUGAAGAGCCUGAGGCAGCUAAUGAUUAUUAUUUGGAGACUGGAACAUCAAUGAUAGCCAGUGCGGAGCCAGAUACAGCAAAAGGCUCUGUUUCUGAAAUUGGGAUGUCUGUGAUAACCAGUGAAGAGUUGGCAACUAAUGCUUGUGGUAUUGAAACACAGAUGACAACUCUCUUCAGCAAUGAGCCUCAGUGUUGUGCUACUAAUGAAGAAUCACAUGAGUAUAUGGAGCAUAAGUAUCCUAAAUCAAUUCAGGAUGUAAAAUUCUUAGGCGGGGAGAUAAUGAUAGAGGGUGCUGCAGAAGUGAUCAGUAAUAAGUUUUCCGAUUUUUCUUUAUCAGAUGUAAAGAAAGAAGGUGCUAUCAUAGAUCAACAUCCCAAAAAUGACUCCCCUGAAACAGUUUUUCCAAGGGAGGGUCAUAUACCUGUGUUACAACACCAAAGGUUUCCUUAUGUGCAUGAGAAAUCAUGGAAGACCAGCAGUAGCAGCCAGGUUCACAUACCUAAUGUCGCCAUCAAUAAUCACCUUCAAUGCAUUGAAAAUAGCAAAAAACACAAUUCAUGUCUUCCUGGGGAUGAAACUAAAGAUGAUACACUUGAUGUUGAAGCCAAUGUCAUAAGCAGCCCUAACAGAGACUGUAGUUCACUUUGGAAUCCAAAUUUACAUUCAAGUCCAAGAGGCUGUUUAGUUUCUGCUGCUGAUAAUUCUCCUACAGCUGAGGAAAAACAAUCACGAUUAUCUGCUUGUGCUGAUGCAACAGGAAGCUGUUCUCCAGUGAUCCAUUCAUGCAUUGAUGAGCCUGUGAUAUCAGCAAAGGUGGAGGAUUGCUGUCACUCAAAGAUGCAACAUCCUCCCGAAAGGCUCUUUUCAACUAGAAUGGCCAUCUCUCCAACUUCUCAGAAAAGGCUACGUGAAGUUAUGGAGUCCAUUGAGUUAGAUGAUGAGCAAUACUACAGGUAUGCAAGGAAACUGUGCUAUAGAAAACAGAAUAAGUAUAAGAAUGGUAGACUUGAAGGACCCAUUCAGAUCAAGAGAGCUGAACUCAUCACUAGCCCUAAGAAAGUUUCUAGGAAACCAAAGAUAUGUAAAAAUGGUUUCCAUCGAAAUGAUAUUCUCAAGGUUCCUCCUCCCUCUCGUGCUGGACGAUGUUUUAGUACUGGGUGCACAUCUGCCCUAAGUUCUUCAGAGAGUGCCAUUCUGUUCUCACAGCAACAGAUGCAUGAUAUUGAAUCUGUUGCAACUAAACUUGCAAAAGAGUUGCAGCUCAUGAAGGACAUAGUUGAAGAAACAUUGCAGUCCAAAGUCUAUCUGGCUACAUCCUCGAAAUAUGAUGCAGAGGAGGUAACAAACAAACCUGCAGCAUAUUAAAUAGUACGCUCUCAUCAUUUGCACAGACUUAUUUUCGUGGUGUAGGCAAGGAACUGUUUUUUCUGUACUUCCAAUGCACUCUAAAAAUGACGCACUAUAAAAUUUUGUGAAGACUGAAGAGGGAUAUUGGAGUGACCCUGGCUUUUUGAAACUGAAGUAUUAACCCAUCUUUUUCUUUUUUCUUUUUGCCUUUUCUUUUCUUAUCUCAUAUUUUAUGAACGAAAGUACCACUGGAUGAGUCAAUCUGUGUUAGAUAAGUGGUCCCGCACAAUUUGCCUCAUCGUAUCCGUGUUUCUGUUCUAGGGCUUUUUCUUACUAUCCUAAUCAGUGCACUCAUUAGAAUUUGAUAAAUAGACGUUUCAUGCUUCAGAAAACUGCAAAUGUUUU